UACGUAGGUGGCAAGCGUUGUCCGGAUUUAUUGGGUUUAAAGGGUGCGUAGGCGGCUUUGUAAGUCAGUGGUGAAAUACUCCAGCUUAACUGGAGGGGUGCCAUUGAUACUGCGGAGCUUGAGUACAGAUGAGGUAGGCGGAAUUGACGGUGUAGCGGUGAAAUGCAUAGAUAUUGUCAAGAACACCGAUAGCGAAGGCAGCUUACUGGGCUGUAAACUGACGCUGAUGCACGAAAGUGUGGGGGAUCAAACAGG
rnacentral:rRNA from 1 species